CGGGAAGCUCGGCUCUGGGUUGCGGGCCCCGGCGUCUCCGCGUGGGGCGCACCGUCCGACCCCCCCCUCCCGGUGUGCAGCGCCCCGCACCGCCCCGCCUCGCCUGGGAGAAGCCGCCGGGACGCGCCGGGCUGGAGUGGGCGGUUAUAGGCUUUGAGCUAGGCCGUUUCCGGGAGGCGGAGCUCAGACCCCAUUUCCUUUCUCCACAUCCAGGUCAGGUGGCGUUUGCUGUGGCGGCUAGGCCCGCGUGCGCUGGAGACCUCCGCGCUGGCCCCCGCGAGCCUCCUGCCCUGGCCCGGCGCUGCGGCUCUGCCGCGGCGGCAGCAUGGGUGGCCCCCGGGGCGCGGGCUGGGUGGCGGCGGGCCUGCUGCUCGGCGCGGGCGCCUGCUACUGCAUUUACAGGCUGACCCGGGGUCGGCGGCGGGGCGACCGCGAGCUCGGGAUACGCUCUUCGAAGUCCGCAGGUAAGUGUUCAUUGGAUGGGUGUACCUCGUUUUUAAAAGGAGAAGCAAAAUGUUAUCAGCAUUUGAGAAGACUUAACUGAUGGUUCAUAUGAUGAUGUUCUAAAUGCUGAACAACUUCAGAAACUCCUUUACCUGCUGGAGUCAACGGAGGAUCCUGUAAUUAUUGAAAGAGCUUUGAUUACUUUGGGUAACAAUGCAGCCUUUUCAGUUAACCAAGCUAUUAUUCGUGAAUUGGGUGGUAUUCCAAUUGUUGCAAACAAAAUCAACCAUUCCAACCAGAGUAUUAAAGAGAAAGCUUUAAAUGCACUAAAUAACCUGAGUGUGAAUGUUGAAAAUCAAAUCAAGAUAAAGAUAUACAUCAGUCAAGUAUGUGAGGAUGUCUUCUCUGGUCCUCUGAACUCUGCUGUGCAGCUGGCUGGACUGACAUUGUUGACAAACAUGACUGUUACCAAUGACCACCAGCACAUGCUUCACAGUUACAUUACAGACCUGUUCCAGGUGUUACUUACUGGAAAUGGAAACACGAAGGUGCAAGUUUUGAAACUGCUUUUGAAUUUGUCUGAAAAUCCAGCCAUGACAGAAGGACUUCUCCGUGCCCAAGUGGAUUCAUCAUUCCUUUCCCUUUAUGACAGCCACGUAGCAAAGGAGAUUCUUCUUCGAGUACUUACGCUAUUUCAGAAUAUAAAGAACUGCCUCAAAAUAGAAGGCCAUUUAGCUGUGCAGCCUACUUUCACUGAAGGUUCAUUGUUUUUCCUGUUACAUGGAGAAGAAUGUGCCCAGAAAAUAAGAGCUUUAGUUGAUCACCAUGAUGCAGAGGUGAAGGAAAAGGUUGUAACAAUAAUACCCAAAAUCUGAUUGGUCAUAUUUUUCCAAAGAGUAAUGCAGUCUGGAUAUAAACGUAUUUUCUGUCUUCCUUAUAAGGGGAUUCUCCCAGCUGCUAAAUUUAAACAGUAAAUAUCACAUUUUGUCAUUAACACAGCUAUAACUUGCCGUGGUUCUCAGAUUUAUUUUGGACUAUUUUGAUGCCAAGUGAAUAUAAGAGCUUGUACUGAAACCAUUUAUUUCUUUCUAUUUUGCUAUUUGCAAAUGCUUGUUAUCUUCCCUACAUGAAGUGGCAGUAACCUUUUUCACAUUUAAGCUACCCUUCUACCUUUUGAAGUGAUUUGCAGUUACUCAUCUGAGACAGCAUCAGUAUUUGACUAAAUCAUUGUUUCACAACUGAAUAGUCUUGUUCUUUUAGUAGCAACGAAAUCCUAAGCUCUUGAGGCCAUUCACCUGCCAACCUGACCAUACUGCUUUCAAAAGUCUUUUCUCAUCAGUAGAAUCUAUUUUGGUCACUUCUAGUCAAUGAAAAAUGUAAACUUUUAGGAGAGAAUGUUUCUUAGGACUCACCCACUCCAUUCAAUGUUAUAUAUAAAAUAGUGUGAUCAAUCACAAUGUCCAUCUUUAGACAGUUGGUUAAAUAAAUUAUCUGGUCUUUGAAAAGAC
rnacentral:lncRNA from 1 species